UGAAAUCACAUAUUUUACAAUGAUACUAGUGAGUAGAUUUACAAAACUACGUAAAUGAGCUACACCUAGUCAGCCAAAACAUAUCAAAAGACUAAUAACAGGAUUACUCAAAACUACAUUACAUUUUUAUACGACCGCAAAAAAAUUUUUGUGGUCGUAUAUUGGUAUGACGUUGGCGUCGUCGUCGUCCGAAGACACAUUAGUUUUCGCACUCUAACUUUAGUUUAAGUGAAUGGAUCUCAAUGAAAUUUUACCAUAAGGUUCAAUACCACAAAAGGAAGGUGGGGAUUGAUUUUGGGGGUUAUGGUACCCACAGUUAAGGAAUUAGGGGCCAAAAAUAAGCCAAAAAUAAGCAUUUUUGUAACUUCCAGACAUAACUUGUGUGUAAGUGUAUGGAUCUCUCUGACAUUGUAUCACAAGGUUCCAUAUCACAAAGGGAAUGCUGGGAUUGACUUUGGGGGUGAUUGCCUUCAAAUUUUAGGAAUUAGGGGCCAAAAAGGGGCAAAAAACAAGCAUUUUUCUAGUUUCAGGACAAUAACUUGUGUGUAAGUGUAUGGAUCUCUCUGACAUUGUAUCACAAAGGGAAUGCUGGGAUUGAUUUUGGGGGUAAUUGCCUCCAAAUUUUAGGAAUUAGGGGCCAAAAAGGGGCAAAAAACAAGCAUUUUUCUAGUUUCAUGACAAUAACUUGUGUGUAAGUGUAAGGAUCUUUAUGAAAUUGUACUACAAGGUUCCAUAUCACAAAGGGAAAGCUGGGUUUGAGUUUGGGGGUAAUUGCCCUAAAUGAUUAGGAAUUUGGGGCCAAAAAGGGGCCUAAAAACAAGCAUUUUUCUAGUUUCCAGACAAUAACUUGUGUUCAAGUGUAUGGAUCUCUCUGAAAUUAUACUGCAAGGUACCAUACCACAAAGGGAAAGCUGGGAUUGAGUUUGACGGUGAUGAAUCAUAAGGGGGUUCAAAAAAUUGGGGGGGAUUUUUUUUUCAUUUUUUUUCUUUAAAAUUUUCCAUUUUAAAUUGGUUAUUUCUGAUUUAUAUAUAAAAGCAAAUAAUAAUUAUAUGGUUUGAAUAGGUAAAUUAAAAAUUCUUAGACCACUUUCAUUCUGUGUGAGAAACCUAUGCUGUGUCAAAUAUUUAAUUACAAUCCAAAUUCAGUGCUGUAUCAAGCUUGAAUGUUGUGUCCAUACUUGCCCCAACUGUUCAGGGUUCGACCUCUGCGGUCGUAUCAAGCUGCGCCCCAGCGGAGCAUUUUAUUUAAAAAAUCAGAUUUUCUAAGUCAUUUCUUUAGGAAAAAUAGUUUUAAUAAGUUGUGAUUUAAAUAAAAAAAAAAAAAAAUUUUA